rnacentral:lncRNA from 1 species
UACCACCCUCUGCUAUCUGACCCAGGUCCCUGAUUUUUCUAAGCUCUUUUCUAUUCCUGAUCUUAUUGGAUCCUCAUGGUGGCCCCAGUGUGGUUUAGGAUAGGGACCCACACCCUGAUUGGCAAAUGAGGAAGCUGAGGUUCCAAGAGGAGAAGUGACUCUCAUAAAGUUACCUCAGAACUCCUGUGGGAAACCCGGAACUGCCUCCUUCCUUCCUCUCUUUGUUUUCCUCAGCUCCUCCCACUGACUCAUUUCCCUUAGGGCUACAAGAGCAGAGCUGAAAUUCCUGGUGGGAUAUGAGGGAUUUGGGAACCCUGGAAGUCGUUCCUGGGCAGUGAGGAUUUUAUAGUAUGGAUAUACUAUGGUUUCUAUACCUUUCACCUGUUGGAGAGCAUCAGAGUUGUUUCCCCUUUUUGACUAUUACAGAUGAUUAUUAUGAAGGUUUGUGUCCAGGUUUCGUGUGAAUAUGUCUUCAUUUCUCUGGGAUGAAUGCCUAAGAGUGUGAUUGCUGGGUUGUAUGAUGAGUGUAUUGUUUAGUUUUAUAACAAAUUAUAAGACUGUUUUCCAGAAUGGCUGUGUCCUUUUGCAUUCCCACCAGCUUUGCACAAGUGAUCCACUUUCUCCACAUUCUUGCCAGCAUUUGGUGUUGUCACUAUUUUUUAUUUUAGCCGCUGUGGUAGGUAUGUAGUGUUACAUCAUUGUGGUUUUAAUUUGCAUUUCACUGAUGGCCAAUUAUGUGGAACAUCUUUUAAUGUGCUUAUUUGCCUUUUGUAUAUUUUAUUUGGUGAAAUAUCUGUUCAUGUUUUUUUGCCCAUAUUCUGAUUGAGAUUUUGUUCUUUUUACUGCUGAGUUUUGAGAAUUCUUUAUACAUACUACAUAUAGGUUCUUUGUUGGAUGUGUGGUUUGCAACUAUUUUAGCUCAACCUGUACUUUAAUUUUUCAUCUUUUUCACAGGUUCUUUUAUAAAACAAACUUUUAAAUUUUGAUGAGGUCCAGUUUAUCAAUUUUUUUCAUUUGUGGAGUCUGCUUUUGAUCUGAAGUCUAAAAAUCCCUUUGCCUAGUCCUUGAUCUUAGAGAUUUUCUCCUAUGUUUUUUCCUAAAAAUUGCAACAUUUUGUUUUACAUUUAGGUCUGUGAUCCAUUUUGAGUUAAUUUUUAUAUAAGAUGUGAGAUAGGAAUCAAAGAUUUAAAAAAAAAAAUUGCCUAUGUGCAGCUUAAUUUUUUUUUUUUUACCAGUUUCUUUUUUUUU